GAAGCUGAGUGAAUGAUUCAGCAAAAGCACACGUUACAUGAGGAACACAUAUUUCAUGUGCUAUUAUUUAGAGUAAGAAUAAAAUCAAUGAAGCUCCCUCCACAGAGUUCAGCUCCUCCUCCUCUGUGCCGGAGGUCGCCUCCAGCGGCGGCGGAACCCUAGUGUCCAAAAUAACUACAUCAUCUUUUUCACCUCAUUCUUCUGAUUCCAAAUAUCACGUUUAUAUCCCCUGAUUCUUCCUAAACAAACUAAAUCGAAGCCACAUGUCGAAGAAACCUAAACCUUAGAACUAAAAUUAAAUCCUUCACUCUCGUAAUCAACCCCCUAGAGGUUAGGGCUUUGAUUCCUCUGAACCUCCCAUACACCAUGGCAACAAGCACGAAGUGAACAGAUGAAGAAAAUGAAAGCAACUCACCAGAGCAACGCUAGAGUUCAGGUGAUGGACAAGUGUAAAGAUGAUGUGGAUCUUAAAGAACAAGGACAUUAGGGUUUAGGGGUGUUGACAUGAUGAGUUGACUUUGGUCAACUGGUUAACCGAAAAGUCAAAGUUGACCAAAGUUAACUUAUCCAAAAAGAAUGUAUUUCUUUGUAAUUUUUCAAUGAAACAUGUAUGGACAAUGUAAUUAGUGAAUGGAAUGUAGUUUUUAGUAAAAUGUUCUAAUGAAACACAUGAAACAAAUUUGAAGUCAAA